AAAGUAAAUUCUGCCCUAUGAUUAUUUAAAUGGCUGCAGUAUUUUGACUGUGCAAAGGUAGCAUAAUAAUUAGUCAUUUAAUUGUUGACUUGUAUGAAUGAUUAAAUGAGGUAUAAUUUUUAUUAAUUUAAUUAUUAAAAUUUUAUUUUUAGGUAAAAAAGCUUAAAUAAUUUUUAGGGACGAAAAGACCCUAUAGAACUUUAUUAAUUUUUUAAUGAUUUUAUUUUUGUUUUUAUUUAUAAAUUAUUAUUUUAUUUCUUUGAUUGGGGUGAUAAAUAAAAUUAACUUUAUUUUUUUUUUUCAUUAUUUUAUGAUUGUAUUGAUCCUAAAUUAUAGAUUAAAAGUUUUAGUUACCUUAGGGAUAACAGCGUAAUUUUAAUGGAAAGUUCUUAUUUAUAUUAAAGUUUGCGACCUCGAUGUUGAAUUAAGUUAAUAAAGGGGGGUAGGUUUUCCUUUUAAGUCUGUC
rnacentral:rRNA from 1 species